rnacentral:misc_RNA from 1 species
AAUUUGUUGAGUAUAACGAAAUAAAUAACAGCGACGAUGUAGUUAUGUAAUUAUCUAUAACAAGUUAAGACCUUUACCAAGUCGCAAUUGUUUUUUUAUUUACGGAUUGACAAAUUUGCUGUUACCAUGGGAACAAUAGCCACCGAAGAGUUUGAUCUCAUGAAAGAUUCAAAAUAUCGGAUGUAUGUCAAUGCUGUUGAUAAAGCAUUGAAGAGUUUUGAAUACACUAGUGAAUGGGCAGAUUUAAUAUCUGCCUUAGGAAAAUUAAAUAAGGUGCUACUAAGUUAUACGAGAUAUCCAGUAAUACCACGAGGCAUAAAAAUCAGUAAACGUCUAGCACAAUGUAUGCACCAUGCUCUUCCUUCUGGUGUUCACUUGAAAGCUCUUGAAACAUAUGAUAUUAUAUUCAAGUGUAUGGGAACUAAUCGUUUAAGCCAAGACCUUUUUAUUUAUAGUGCAGGUUUAUUUCCUGUAAUGGGUUAUGCUGCUAUGAAUGUUAGACCGGAUCUCUUAAAUAUUUAUGAAAAUCAUUUUGUACCCUUGGGAGAAAGAUUAAUACCAGGAUUAAAUGGUUUUCUAAGCGGAGUAUUACUUGGCUUGGAAGAAGGUUCUGAUUUUUUCGACAGGACAAAUCGUUUAUUAGACAAUGUAUGUGCUGGUGUUGGUGCUCCAAUAUUUUUUAGUCACCUAUGGGAAUGCUUAGCUAAUAAUUUAGCUGUUCGACUUCCUGCUAUUUUGUAUAUACUGUCUCGGUUUGAUCGAAAAUUAUUAAUAGAAAAUCAGAGUCAUAUAAUGGGUACUAACGUUGACACAAUGGUUACUGCCAUAUGUGCAUGUGUACAAGAUUCUAUGGUUUUGGUUCAAAGAAGUGGUUUAGAUUUAUUACAAGUUGGAUUCCCAAUGCAUAGUACACAACUAUCCAAAAGCGAUAUGAUUCGUCUUAUUACAGCAUCUUUAGUAACUAUACUCCGUAGAGAUAUGUCAUUGAAUAGGCGUUUGUAUGCUUGGCUCCUUGGUAAUGAAGUUAAUUUAACAUUAUUAAGUUCAGAUCAUCCUUUAGUAAAAUUAAGAAAAGCAAGAGAAUUAACUACAGUAAAAUAUUUUGAAAUGUAUUCCAGAGACUUACUUGUACAGGCUAUAAAAAUUAAACUUCAUGAAGCAACUGGUUGUAAGCCACAUGACUUACGCCCCUAUAGACUUCUUGUGUCUUUAUUAGAUAAAACUGAAAUUGGUCCUGUAAUUCUAGAUGAUAUUUUGUAUGAAGUUUUUAGACUUCUUUAUUUAUGUUGUCAAAAAGACAACAAAAUUGAUAAAUCAUCUGAAUUGAUAAAGUCAGCAAAUUUAUUAUUUAGUUCCUUGGAGCCUAAAUAUUUAUGGGAAUAUACAGGUAUUAUGUUUUCAAAUGCGUGUCAAUCACUAACCAGGAUAGAUCCAUGUGAAGACACAUCUAGCGUUGUUAAAUCUGUUGGUAGUGGUGACUUAAGCCUUGUUGAAAUAUGCUCUCUGACAGAUUUCCUAUUGGAUGCUAUAUCAUUUGAAACUUUUACUGAAACUCCUAGUGAACAUUUACUCGAAUUAUUCAUCCACAUUGCAAGUACAUUAACAGAUAAUUGUGAUAUGUUGACUUCAGAUCAAGCAAGCACAUCUUUAAUGUUGUUUUUAAAAAUACUGUCUAAAGUUCAACCAACAUUAAUACCACAGACAGAUUUAGGAUAUAGCUCAUUGGAUCAAACUACUGAGCUGCCAAAGAAAGCCACUGAGCCCGGAAAAAUUGUUCAAUUAAAUGUGGAUACGCCUAAAAUAAGUGGUGUGAAAAGAGCUCAGUCUCCAAAACUCAGAACCAUAUCUGACACUUCAAGUGUUCAAUCUGAUUCAACAAUUAUAGCAGAUAACCCAUCAAUCGAUUUACAUUCAGAUACAACUAGUGGAGUAUUUGAUGGUGAUUCUUUGAAUUCAGCUAUUUUGAUGCAAAAUUGUAACCAAAAAGAACAACAAAGCAUUUAUAAAUCUUGUAUUAAACAAUAUGAAAAGUUUUUUGUAACCUUUGUUUAUGGUGUACGAGCAAACAUUGGUGAAACCAAAGGAUUAACAGUUUUGAUGGAUGCCUUAAAAGUAAAAUCACCGCAAGCAACUGCUGAAGAUCGAGCUAGAAAUUUAGAAGAACUUUUAAAAACUGUGCUUAAUUUACAAAAACAAACAUUUGACGAAAAUUAUGAAUAUGAAGGUACUGAUGAAAUAUCCCCUAUGACUAUUCUCAAUAAUAAACGCAGUGCUGGGCUUGAAUGGACAAAACCUGUUAUGUUAGCUUGUAGAGUAUUAGUAGACAUAUCAACAUUUCAAGCAAUUCCAUUGUCUGAUUCAAUGGCAUCAUUAGUAUCAUCAAUUGAUAUAAAAGACUUAAAUAAUGAUGUUCUACCAGAAUGGUUAAAAUUAAUUAUUGUAUGUUGUUGUUGGUUGGGAAAUACUGCCCCUUCUCUACAACUUGUUACUAUUGGAACUUUAGUGGAUAUAGUUGCACUCUGUCGAAGCUCACAAUUGCAUAGCAAAUCUAACGAAUCAAGAAAUGGUGUUGUGUCACUAGUCCUGUUACCACUAUUGAAACCUUUUCAAUUAUAUUAUAUUGAAUACCAUACAAAUGUUUUUCACGUUAUUGCACAUUGGCUUUGGUUUCAUUUGGCUAAUCCAUUAUAUCAAGUGCGCUGUGUUGAACUACUUUAUUUAUUGCAGAGCUCUUUGCAUUCAAGUGAUAUUGUAGAAAAUUGUAUUGGAGAAGAAUUAACAUCAAGAAAAGCAUCUGAAUUUCAUAAGUUAAAUGCAUUCAGAAAAUUUUCACUCUUAUGGCAUGUAGGCCGAGAACUUGCCGCAAAUUCUCAAAAUGUUGGAGACAUGUUUUACAAGUCAAUGUUGAAAACAUUAGAUAAUUUAGAACUCGGAGAAAGAAAUGCAAUAAAAGUAGAAGCAGAAGGAUGGCUUCUACACUCUUUAUUAAGAGGUGAUAUUAGCAGAUUAAUAGAUCCUCUUAUACUAUUACUACUUGAUCCGUGUACAUCAAGAUUAAGUGUUCUCCAUGCCAAAGUUAGUCCGACACAAAAUAAUGACGCACAUGAUUAUUCUGAAACUUCUUUAAAUGAUCCAUCUGCCAAAAUUUAUGCUAUUAGUUCAGUUGAUGGAAAUGUAAUGUAUCAUGUGGCAGACAAGUGUAAGCAAGCACCAAAAAUUGCCCCUAGCCGCAGUAAACGUGUCUUUGCUAUUACAACAUUAGCUGAACAAGAUUCUUCAAACCUAUUUAGCCGUUAUGUUACUGUAAAAAAAUGUCAAAUGAUGACUCGAUAUGAACCAUCUUUAGCAGAAAUGUCUGAAUCUCAUCAUAAAAACAUGUCUUUACUUCAAAAUAUUUCUGUUUUUGUCAAUCCAUUUUCUGUUGAUCCUAACGUUACUAAUAACAAUGAAUUUGAUGAAGAUUAUUCUGAAGAAAAGAAAGAAAGUUCUCAGUACUCCAUGGAUAUGUUGAAUAAAAUUAAACGAUUUAAAUCAAAUGUGCAAAACACAGUACGUCGUUCUCCUAAGAGAAAACCAGAAAGUAAACAUAUUCAAAAAUCUGUACAAAGAACUGGAUCAUAUUCAUCCCUUGAUUCUAUAAAAACUAACCCAGUUAUGAAUUCUACAACAAUGAUGUCAUCAAUUGAUUUGUUACACCUAUCAUCCAUAUCAGACACAAUAUUUGCUCGAGUUACUGAUGGCGAGACAUACCGUAACAAUAUACGAACAUCUGCUUCUGCAACUGAUAUGAAUGGCCAUUUUACGGAAAACGAGACUGAUUUAGUUCGGAGCUAUUCAUUUUGUGGAAAUGAACAAAUCAAAAUUGAUACAGAUGAGUCAACACCUGCUGAUGAAUAUUUCGACCCUUCGAAGUCUGAAGAAACGUCUGUCGUACGAGAAGUUCUUAAUAGUGUGCUAGAUGCUGUAGUAGAUGAAACAGUUGUACCUUUAAAUGAUGAAGAAGAUGACGAUGAUUUGACUGAAGUAUCUGAAUCAAUCAAAGAAGAUAUUUCUAUGGCUCCACCUGAGUAUAACAUGGAUGGUAAUGUAAGAAAUAUACACUCUCAUCUUCUGUUAUAUUGUGGAGUAUAUGAUGUCCAGCGAACAUUGUAUGCUUUCUGUACAUUAACAAACAUGUUAAAAACAAAUGCUCGUGCGCUUUUAUGCGCUGCUGCUACUACUUCUGUUCCUGUAAAAUCUCAGAUACUAAAGUUACUUUCUAGACACAGAAAAUCCAUGUUUGGUAGAGGAUUUCAUGGAGAAAUUGAUAUGACUGGAAUACCAUAUAAUCGAGGCAGUAGCAUGUAUUUAGAAUUACUCAUAUCCAUUUGUCUUUAUUAUAUACGAAGUUACUAUCCAAAUUUAGGACAAUCUAAAAUCACCCAAGAGGAUAUUGCUGGUAAUCGUCAAGUGCAAAUGUCCAGUGUAGAACUGCUAAGUCUUAUUUGUUGGGAAUUAAGCGGUAUCGUAAGAGAUAGUGGACGAGGUUUAGCGUGUUAUUUAGCUGAAUUACUUGCAAGAUGUAAAGCACAAAAAGUUGCAUUACACUGUUUGUUAAGUAGUGUACUUGAAAAUUCUGGUCCUGAAUGUAAAGCUACCAGUUUCACUGCAGAAAUAUUGUCUUUUAAUAAUCAUGAUCCUACAGAUCAGGGAUCUGUUGAAGGUAGAAUGAAUCGUGAAUCUGAGGCAUUCCAAGCUCUAUUAUUAAGACUAUUGCUAUCACUAAUUAUAUUAGAACAUGAAGUUGAUAAUAGCCGUCAUCGUGGUAACAAUGUGGUAAAUGAUUCCUAUGCAGAUUUAGCUGCUGAUAAUGUAGAAGGCACUGACGUUCGUUACUUAUCUGGCAGACCAAUUCCAUUGCAACCAAUGUUUGUUACUGCCUUAGUUGCAGCCUUACAUCCAUCUGCUCGAAUGAGACAUUCCCAUAUUAACUGGACAUCGCUUGUAACAUCUUCAUUACCAUAUCUUGGACCAGCCUUGGUGAAUGUUGUCUCUGUGACUGUACGACAGUUAUGUGCUAAUAUUGAAACAUUAGCAGAAGUUUAUGCUGAUAACACCAAAAAUGUUAAUUUGAGAUUACCAGCAGAUUAUGCAAUAACACAAUUGGAAGCUCUUACUGUCUUAUGUCAUUUUUGCCUCCUUGAUACUGGUCAGCCAUUUAACCAUCCUUUAGAUCAUAAUUCUACGGCAAAUUCAAAUACUCCAGCACAGCUGUUCAAUAAUCUUGUCCAUGUCUUUAUUCCAUCUCCUCUUUUAGCUCUCCAAGAUCAAUCAUCUAAUGAUGAAACUGAACCACAGUUAGGAGCAAGGAGAUCUUUAUUGGCAAUUUUGCCAAGAAUUGUAGCCAGCGUUUCUUUAUUAUGGAAAGCACUUUGUACUGGAAAACAAAGUGAAAAUAAUGUGGCUGGAUGUCCAAGGUUAGUUAAAGGCCAACUUUUAGAUUUAUUAAGUCCUAUAGCUGAACAUCAUGGCAAUAGCUUUCUAACCGCGUUUUCAAUUGUAUGGAAAGAGAGACGAUCGCGUGCAUCUGUAUUAUCAUCAACUAUUGUACCUGAAGCUACAGAAAUGCAACAAGUUUUAGUACAAUUAUUAAGUUCCAUAAAGUCGAUGCCAUUGGAUUCAUUAAUACAAACUAUUCACCAAGUUGUCAAACAACCAUCAUUAAGUCAAGCUGGCCAACAAGAUACACAAAUUAGUAUUGAAGUGAGUGUAUUGGAAUUAUUUGUUCAUUACGUACAGCUUGCUCCUGGUCAUUACUUAGCAGAAACAUGGCAAUCACUUCUUGGAUUACUCAAAGAAGGAAUAACAUUAUCACCUCCUUCACAGUUUAUGUUGUUAUCAGUAUUAAGUCAGUUUGUACAUAGAGCUCCUGCACCAUUAGCUGAUCGUAAAGAUCAAAAAGAUCUCCAAGAUAUUACAGCUAAGAUGGUUGAAAGCUGUUCUCAAAUAGCUGGAGCUUGUUUGGAACAGAGUUCAUGGCUAAGAAGAAAUGUGUCUGUAAGAGAAGAUGAAUUAUCUGCAGCAAAUUCUAUUACCGAAAAAGAUAUAGAAAAGGUUGGAAGUGGUAGUGGAAGCAAUGCUCAGUACAGUAUACCAGCCCAAAAUGUGCUAGCCCAACUUCUUGCACCAUUGUUAGACAUAACAUUUGGUAAUCAAGAAAAAGAAAGAGUAUGUACAAUACUCACAAUGAUCAUGUAUAAUGUAACACCUUAUUUGAAAAACCAUACUAAUAAAAAUAUGCCAAGUUUUCAUGCGUGUUCUCAAAUCUUGGCUAGCAUUAGUACGUAUCAAUAUACACGAAAGGCUUGGAAAAAAGAUGCAAUGGAACUUUUACUUGAUCCAACGCUAUUCCAAAUGGACGAUCGCAGUAUUCAGUAUUGGAAAAUUAUAAUUGAUAAUUUAAUGUCUCAAGACACAACAACUUUUAGAGAUUUUAUGGGUCGAAUUAAUAUGAACCAAGCAAACACCUUAAAUUUAUUUUCAAAUCGAGAACAAGAAUGUGAGCAAAGAGCCCAAUUAUUAAAAAGACUUGCAUUUGUUUUAUUAUGUAGUGAGAAAGACCAGUUUCAUAAACAUGUUCCUGAAAUUCAAGAAAGACUAGUUGACACUCUUCGUAUGCCUCAAUCUGGACCCGGUAUUCACGCGCAAGUGUUCCUAUGCUUCAGGGUUUUACUUUUACGUAUGUCUGGUCAUCACAUAACUUCUAUGUGGCCAAUUAUAGUUAGUGAAAUGGUUCAAGUUAUGAUUCAUAUUGAACAUAAUUUAAGUGCAGAUUCAGAAGAGUUCAGGCGAAAUACCAGUAGUGAAGAAAUUAAUAUGGCUGAUACCACUCUUAAAUCAAAUUCAUCGUCAAGACGAAGAAAAAAAUGGAAUCACCGAAACAAGUAUACCUUGCAACCUGAGAAACAGAGUUCAUCAAACUCUAGAAAAUCUACUGUCAUUGAAAAUUCACAUAUACGACUGCUUUCGGGACUUGAUUGGACAUGGGUAGUUAACAGCAACAACGGUCUUAAUGCCAGUAGUAAUCCACAAUGGUUGCAACUUCAGCUAGCCGCAGUUAAACUUCUUAGUGUUGCCAUUCAACUUCCUGCUGAUAUUCUACCUCAAUUUCAAAUGUACAAGUGGGCUUUUGUUGGACGACCUGAACUAUCACAAAAUGAACAGAACCCAGUAGAAUUUGUCCCCCAUGUUUUAAGGAUAGCAAAGAUAAUGGAUUCAAAAUAUGGGAGUCCAAUAGAAGCAUACCCAGAUACCUUGUUGCCAACUGGUUCAACAGCUCGCUCAUUGCAAGACCUUCAUCCAUUUUUUUCUGCUCUAAGCACUGGCGAGCCACACCCAUCCCUAGACAGUUCCAUUAGUCAACUAGAGCAAGAGCUUGAGUUGGAUUUCCUAGAGCCGAUACCGUCCAGAUAGGCUGAUGUUAGUCUGCCUGAAUUCACCGUACCUACGACAAGCUGUGAUGUUGUACAUUUGGUGAUACGAUCAUUCCGUUCUAAUUAGUAAGAGAACACACAUUUUAAAACUGCAAACUCCUAACAUUGUAAUUUUCUUUUUGCAACUACUUAAGUACAUUUAUUGUAGCAAAAAAAAAAACACUUGCUUUGAGCACAUAAAACAUUAACUUAUUAAAUUCUAUGUUACCUGUUAUCGUUGUUAAGUUUGUCGUAUAAUAGGACCUCGAGCAAUAUUGUAUGUAUAAUGAUGCAAUAUAAUAUAAUUAAGUUGA